GACAACAAUCUCAGGGACAGGUUCUUCUGCUUCUGGCUCAGCUGCCGCCUCGGCGCUGGAGGCAUCAGUUGCAACAGAUUCCUGAUCAUUGGGGACCUCCUCUGCCUUAAUCUCCAAGACCUCAGGUAUUUCUGCUUCCACGGUCUCGGGUUCAGACGUGGCUACAACUGGGGCUGGCUCCUCUGGUGCUGGGGCUGGCUCCUCUGGUGCUGGAGCAGGCUCCUCUGGUGCUGGAGCAGGUUCUUCUACUUCUACAACUGGUACCUCUACUGGAGCUGCCUCUACUGCUGCUGCAACUGCAACUGCUGCUUCUACUACUGGAGCUGCAGGUUCCUCUGUUGUUGCAGCUGGUUCCACUGCCACUGGAACAGCCUCCUCUUUUGCAGCAGGAGCUGUCUCUACUGGAGCUGCCUCCUGCGCUGCAACUGGUUCCUCAGGAGGUGCAGUUUUGGGCUCUUCUGGAGCUUUAACAGCUUCAGUUACUGCUUCCACAUUGUUUGCCUCAGCUGUCACCUCAGCAUUCGUGGGUGGGGCUGCAGCCCCCACUUUAGCAGACUCCUCUGCACCUGCAGCUGCAGUCUCAUCGUUGGCCUGUUUGGGGUCGCUCACAUCAUAUCCCUUCUUCUUCUUGCUCAGUUUUCCUCCCAUAGUGUCUCCUAGGAACAAAUGCAUAAAGGUUGUCUUUUAAUAUUAAAGAUUAAACAUUGUCCAACUUGGCCUGUCUCUUUAAUCGUGAAUGUUUAAAACAACUACUUUGUCCAGAAAUGUACUAUGUAUAUAUAGUAUACCUUGGAGACAUAGACAAACAUUCAUCUCUACAGUAGAUUUGUAUGGGGACCCAUAAACCCAUAAACCUUGCAAACUUACUUAAAAGCCACAGCCGGCUGAGUUCAAACUGAGGAUGUUCUUGUCAUGAGGUAACAGUACUAACCACUGAACCGCCACCCAAGCAUAGAGGUGAUACUGUUAAUAUACACAUGUGCAUGUUUACCUAAUUUUUAAGUCUCGCACCCAACUCGUCAAAUACUGACACUUUGGGCUGGGGGCCGGCCUGAUCUACCAAUCCAGAAAGUCAGUUGACAACCAGGAGAACCCAUGUUUCAGUAUUAGACAAAUUGGUCCUUGGAAAUUUAAACAUCACAUGUGAACAUUAAGAAUACGUUUUGUCAAACUUUCGAAAAUGCAGUGUGGCUUUGACUUGGUUCCUUCAAAUGUAAAGCAGUGUCCAGUGAGAAAGGAUAAAAGGAAAGAAGUCUAUUGUCUAGAUGUGAACUAGAGGUUCAAUUAGGAAGCUGCUCUCUGCCAAACACAGUUUGGCUAGAAAACAAAUGUAAAUGCAUGGGAACCUUACUGAGAUCGGACAACGCCACAGACUCUCUAUGCGGUCAGGAAUGUUCGGUAAGGCUCAGUGCCAAAUUAGCCCACAACUCUGAGUUGCAGAUCUAUGAUGUAGAUGUGCAACUAUUCUUCUCUUGGCAUGACAAGCAACAAACUGCACUGUGGUGUGUCUCACAAAGAAAAUUCAACCCUCACCCUGCAAUAUUCACAUACCGGAUAUACAUUACAAAACUGGAUUUUCACAUCAGUGUUAAACCAGAAUAAUCCAAUAGAAACAUUCUGUGACUGGAUCAAAGAUCUGCGACAGGCACGUCUUUGUGUUUAUGUCACAAUAAUGUAUGGGCCGCAGGGGAAGAGUUUGUGAUUGCAACACAAUGCGACUUCCUUCAGUGACAGAACAGAGAACUGGAAGUUCAACUUUAUCUUACUGACUGGGUUUCAGCUGACUGUGGACAAAUCAACCUGUUUGAGCCUCAGAACACUAUGGUUUCGCAGAAUCGAGGUUAUUUGGCCUGCAUUCAUUUUAAACACUAUAAUCUGACACAUUGAUUAGCCAGCUGACAGACGCUUUCAAACAGUAGCUGGAAAAAAAUAUACAACACUGGUUGUUUUCUCUAUAAUGUCCAAAAGACCACCAGCAGGACUUUUACCCAGGACAGCAUGCAGGUACGAGCAAUACGGGAACUGUCCACAGUGCUACAACAGAUCAAUCAAGACAGGAUGCAGCACAAACCACUACAGGCUGCGCAUCCAUUAAACCAGUUUAUAGUAAGGAGCAGCCUGGUGGUGAGAAGAAGUAAUUAUAUCUGCUUUUACAGUAAAGCCAUCCUAUUUCUGCUUUUGAAUUCACUUAUAGCCAAUUAUGCAUUUUAAUGUGGUUGCUGUCUUCGCUAAAUCCAUGUCACCGGCCUGCAAGUCAGACAAAGCACGUUCCUCUUUUAAGGAGCCAACCUGACAUCUUGACAUCAAAUCGUUGUGGAUUUUCUCGUUUUUUUCAAGCCAAAUUCUGAGCAAAUACGAGAAUGAAAUGUAGCUACAGGAGACCGGCUUUGAGGCUUUUCAAAAACACAAGAUUGCGAAUAUGGAGGGGAAAGGUUGGGCAGCAUGUGCCGGCCGGUAACAAAGGAUGGGAAUUCAUCACCAGCAGCUGCUCACUGACAGAAGUAACGGGUUGGGCUAAACUGGCAGGAAAAAAAAAAAAAAAAGCACUGAUGUUUAUCUGCACCAUAGUGUGGGGUAUACACAUAGGCUGUUGUACAGGGGGAUCACAGCAAACACCGGCCACCAAUCCUUGACUGAUAAAAAGCUGCAGAGGGGUCUCCAUCCCCCAUAUUACAACCCACCCACCGACCGCUGCCUCUCUCUCUCUCUCUCUCUCUCUCUCUCUCUCUCUCUCUCUCUCAGCUGCUCUCCCUGCUCUUUUAUUGUUCAUGUGAAAAUGUCGUACUCACACCAGCAAGAGGAAAAACAACGACAUUCAACACCACGACGUUUUGAUACCUAUCAAGUGUUGCAACUUCAUAACUUAGUUGCGUGUGCGCUUUUUUUUUCUUUAUCCAGCCAGGAAGCUCUUUAAUCGCCUGGCCUACUUAGAAGAAAAGAAAGAGAGAAAGAAAGAAAGAAAGAAGCCCACAGCGCUGCUUCCUGAGAGGAGGCACUAAAUCAAAUUCGAUCACUGAGAAUGGGAAAAGAAAAAAGGGGAAAAAAAAGAGAAAAGAAAAAAAAAGACAUGCCAGCCUUGCAAUGUAAGAAUUUGCAUAAUAGGAGAAAAGAGAGUGAACAAUGGGGAAGCUGCUGCUCCUAAGCAUCUUUCUGUUUCUUUCCCUUUGAUUUUCUCUCUUUAAACCAACCAAAUAAAACACAUCUGAUUAUUAUUAUUAUUGUUCUUUUUCAUCACAACGCUCUGAUGAGACCCACCUGUGUUUCCAGAGAGUGAUCACUCGUGCCUCUCGUCCAAAGCUCCCGGCUGGAUGUGAUAAUGGAGGUAACCCCUUCCUCUUUGGAGUGACAGCUGCAGAUUCCGCCCCUGCUCUCCGAGGUGCAGUGUGGGACUGUGGUGUAAGUGAGGAGUGCCCCUCGCAGUUUUCUAGACAUCUGUCGCUAUCACAAUCCAGCCUACCCCACCGGAGCUCCGUCUGCAAUCUAUACCCUCCCCAUCUUUAACCCCUCCUCCCCCUGCACACACCCACUCCGCUGCACAUUUUCUCCCUGCGGGCUGAAGGUGAGUAUUAGCGGACUGUGAAAAAAAACAAACAAAAAAAACGUCUCCUCCACAGAAAACUAUUUGAUUUUUUUUUUCCUUUUUUAUUCUUUCUUAUGUUUGUUGUGGUCAAGAAAAUACAUGAGUGUGAAAAAUCCUUCUUGCGUGGCAAACAAGUAAUGAAAUGUUGAGUCAGUCACAGCCAUCAUAAAAAAAACAAGCACAACAAGUUAAAAGGCAUUCUGAGUGAUUUAUAAAGGAAACUGAUUUGAUCCUGUUUAAAAGUGAUUUGCAAAAUGUGAGCCGUUCUUGAGCUGUGUUUCACAGCUGUUUCAAUGUUUGGACUGUCAACAUAAAGGCUUCAGGGACAAGUUGUACCAUGCCUGGUUGUCAAUUAAGAGGAGUUACUGUUCUUGUUAGGGACAGAGAGAGGACAUAAAGUCCAUCUUAACCGAAUCUUCUGAUGCAUUGCACCACUUCGCUAUUCUCCCUUCAUGUGCCAAUGGUUUCAGACUUAUUAUAACAAGUUGAUCCCUCCAUGUUCUCUUUCAUUUUCACAGAAACACUGCCAGGAACAAGUAUCUGAACAACACUGAUAAUUAUCAGAUAUACUGUAUAUUUAUCAAUCUCUCUCCAACAAGAACUUACAUCUACAAGAAAUGGCCUACGGAUUGCUACAAAUCUGACACAUUAUUUCAGUCAUUCAGUCAUUUAUUUUUGGUCUCAUAUCUCCUCCAGCAACAGUUUUGCUUCCUGUGAAAAGAAAAGGCGAGAUUGGGUAUUUCCCUAGCAGUUCACACAAACAUGUUUUUCUUCACAGUUCCUCUCAGUGAAACUGGAAGAACGAUAUUGCCAAUCACAUAACAAUUGGACUGAUCGGUCUGGUUACAUCACUUAAAACCCACCAACCUGUUAUUAGAUCAGAAAACAACUCUGAAAAGCCGCCAGACAGGUUGGUUUGUGCCGGCUCAGUUGAGGGGGGAUAAAUAGUGGUUUCAAGGCAUACAGGUAUGUUGUAUGUAUAGGCAGAUACAGCAAGGCUUCCAUUUCUAUUCCAUUCUUCCAUAGUUUCAUUUAACAUAAGGGACUGUAAACCCAAAGAGAAUCUGUAUUACAAGUUCCCAUCUGAAUUAACAUCCCAAUGAUCUGGGUAGUUCAGAGAGGACUUUUUUCUUUUCUUUUCUUUUCUUUUCUUUUCUUUUCUUUUCUUUUCUCUUCUUUUCUUUUUUCUUUUCUUUUUUAAAUCUUUUCUUCCUUCCUCUUGCGUUUUUCACAUAUAGGAAUCUUUAAAUAAAUCCAUGUAUCACUUGUGUUGUAUAGCGUUAAUAUCAGACCUGCAGUAUAACUGAGAAGACAGCACCCUCUCCUGUUACAAGAGCUCACAGUACAAGUCAGCGUCUGUGAAG
ensembl:lncRNA